CUGGAGGUACUGCAAUACCAGGCCAACCCGUGACGAGAGCGGAGCAAGCCCCUGACAUCUCAUCGAGUACCAAAAAUCAGUUUAAUAUCGAAGUACCCACAUGGGGUACGUAUCAGAUAUUAAGCUGAUAAGAACAGAUACUACACUUUGAUCUUAGCCAAAAGGCCGAGAAGCGAUACCAACAAUUUAAAAAUCUUAGGUAGUCUUAUAUCAAAAUGAUUUCAUUGGAGAAGGUAUGGAUCAAGAAAAAAUUGGGAAAAUUCACUUGCAAAUAACUCAAUCGUGAGCUUUUCUUCAUUUUUUAUUUCAAUAAGUUUCAACAAUAUAAAUAUUUCUUAUUUUUUUGGUAUAAAUAUUAUUUUCUUAAAAUAAUUGAUUUUAACAUAAAUAAUUAAUUACUUUAUCAAGUAGGCUAUUUUUCUAUCUAGAUUAUCGUUCCUGCCAGUUAUUUUAACCUAUUAUCUACGUUUACACUAUACAGGCUAUUUAUAGAUAACAUUAUCAUUGUCCACUUAACAUGUUAGUCAUGUGUGCCAACAGCAAAUAUCUACACUCAUUUAUAUCUCCAGGAUUUAUCAUUCAAUUUUAUAUUUUAUCACAAAAAAGUAAAUGAAUGAACAACUUGUCAGUAAAUUAAUUAUUAAAUAUCAAGUGAUUUAAAAACAAAAGGGAAAAAACUUCAGAGAGCUAUUUUAAUAUAUGUCUAGAAAUUUUGUACUAGCAAAAUUAACAGACAAACUUAAUAUUUAAAAACAUUUUGUAAAUACUCAUGUUUAAACCAGAAGUAUCAAUAAAGUAAGAUACCAUCAUAAUAUCUAGAGUGUUUAGCUUUAACUUAAAAUAAUUCUAAAAUCUGCAGGUUAAUACAAAAAUUAAGUGAUGUUUUGUUUUUCUUAAAUUGAGAAAAUCUCUGGGAAAUCUGUGCUAGACUUUCUUUGUAAUAUGUCUAAAGGGGGUGAAAGUCUACAAAUGCAGAAAGUGAAAUUAUAAAACAUAUAUUACCAAGAAAGGGACAAAAGGGUAUCUGAAUAUGACAUGCAUAUAUUUCUACUAAUAAACAAUACAAUAUGAAAAGACUAUUAUUAACAGAGAAAUAAUUAAGAUUCCGUAGUUAUACAAAAAUAACAAAAUUUUCUUGUACAAUAAAUAUAAUCAUUCUAUAAAAAAUAAAGACAUAUGACUGGCUAUCAGGAUAUGAAAAAUUCACUUUUAUAGUAAAAUGCAAUGAAUCUUAAAACAUUUUGAGUUUUAUAAGGGGACCUUUAUUUGAUUUAUUUGUUCUCCCCCUGAGGGGAGUGGGCCGAUCCUGGAGGUACUGCAAUACCAGGCCAACCCGUGACGAGAGCGGAGCAAGCCCCUGACAUCUCAUCGAGUACCAAAAAUCAGUUUAAUAUCGAAGUACCCACAUGGGGUACGUAUCAGAUAUUAAGCUGAUAAGAACAGAUACUACACUUUGAUCUUAG
rnacentral:lncRNA from 1 species